GAAGAUUCUUGCCGGAACAACUGCUAGAACUCCCGAGUUGACAUGCUCUAAAGGUAUAGUGAAUUCAGUAUGCAGAUUAUUGAAGGGAAAACAUCAAGACGGGGCAAGGAAGACAACAAAACAUGAUUACCCAGAUUGAGGAUCCCAGUGUUCUUUGUCUCAAGCUACUAAGCCUACCAUGAGAAAAUUAAAAGAUCUGUCAUGAAGAAGAGGCUGGUUCUCAACUUUCAUAUUAUAAAUGGCAAGUAUUGUUUAGAACUAAAUUUAGAUUAUUCUUGAUAAAAAAUAACAUAAGGGUGUUUG